rnacentral:rRNA from 1 species
CCAGACAAGCUGAGAGGAGGUGCAUGGCCGUCGCCAGCUCGUGCCGUGAGGUGUCCUGUUAAGUCAGGUAACGAGCAAGAUCCCUGCCUCUAGUUGCUAUCACUGCUCUCAGGAGCAGAGGGGCUAAUUAGAGGGACCGCCGCCGCUGAGGCGGAGGAAGGAGGGGGCUACGGCAGGUCAGUAUGCCCCGAAACCCUCGGGCCACACGCGGGCUGCAAUGGUAAGGACAACGGGCCCCGAUCCCGAAAGGGGGAGGCAAUCCCUCAAACCUUACCCCAGUUAUGAUUGAGGGCUGAAACUCGCCCUCAUGAAUAUGGAAUCCCUAGUAACCGCGUGUCAACAUCGCGCGGUGAAUACGUCCCUGCUCCUUGCACACACCGCCCGUCGCUUCACCGAAGCUGGUUCUUGGCGAGGUGGCGUCUUAUUGGCACUAUCGAACCUGGGGUCAGCAACGGGGGAGAAGUCGUAACAAGGUAGUCGUAGGGGAACCUGCGGCUGGAUCACCUCCUU